UCUAAAUCUAACGGUGGAUAUGGUUCUGAGAUUAUAAUCUAAGGGAUACACUUUUUUUUAGGAUUAUGGUUAUGACGUCAUGCUUUAGCAAUCGACGCCUUCAUUGUAUCUCUUCAACGGCGUCCCCUGCAGAAACUAUUUCCUUUGAAGAGUUGUAUUCUUUCACACGCAGCGUUCCAGUGGAACGUUUUCUCUCUUCCCUUAAGAGUUGUAUCUUAUCAUAAGAUUAUAUAUAGAAGAGAUUGUAUAAGUUUUCAUAAUUGUUAGUUUUCUCUGAUUCUCCUUUUUGCCUCUUAUUUCUCUCAGAUUCCGCUCUAGAUAAUUUUCCGUCUUGCCCUUUCUAUUUUCCCUAGAGUUUCAGACUCCGAAACUCCAUUAAAUUAUUUUUGUUUCUCUGCAAUUUUCUAAUUGUUAAAUUUGGAAAUAGAGGGGUUAACAAGCUGUUCAAUAUCUGCUCGGAUGAUGGUAAGGCAGCUUUCACGGCGGUUACUGUUUCUCUCGUUUUCCGUUCGGCGUGGACUGAGCCGAAGUCUAUACCUUCAACGUUUAUGCACCUUACUCUCGGCAUGGGUGAUCGUGUUAUGGCCGAGAAGGUCUCGUACUUGUUCAGAAGCCCAGAGUUUUCAGAUAUAGUCAGCUUCAAGGUUCCUCCGGUUUUGGUAGUAGGAACAUGGUUACAGUUGUAUGCUUUGAUUAAAAGGAUAGUUGCAAGCCGAGGUGACUGGGUUGAAAGUUUGUGAUGGAAAGUUCUUGGUGAAUGACACGUUCAAGUAUAUGAUUUUGUCUUCAUUUGAUAUCUUAUUGUAAACUGCUAAUCUGUCUGUGCAUGCUUUGAGGGGGAAAGUUUGUACUUUAAGAAGAAGUGCAAAGCCCGCCAACUUUCUAUGAGAAUUCAAUAUUUAUAAUGUUAUAAAUCAUUGCAUUACAAAACAGAUAUAUUAAUGUAUAUAUAUAUAUA